ensembl:miRNA bta-mir-2467 bta-mir-2467
CUUGUGUCCACCCCAAGCCUGGCUGCUACCUUGUUUCUGAGUCAGGAGGGCAGUGAGGCUCAGGGCUGGACUGGGCAGG